AUGGCCGGAGGAGCAGCAUGGAAAGAAUGGGGUAUCGCAGCAUGGAAAGAAUGGGGUAUCCAGGCGUUGGUGCUGCUCAGCUUGACUCUCCAGGUGGCGCUGCUCAUACUGGCGGAAUUCCGGCGGCGCGUGGACUCCGGCGCGGUAAGGUUCUUGGCUUGGUCGGCGUACAUGCUGGCCGACGGCACGGCCAUCUACGUGCUGGGCCACCUGUCCGCCGCCAGCCGGUCUCCCGACCACGAGCUGAUGGCCUUCUGGGCGCCGUUCCUGCUGCUCCAUCUGGGCGGGCAGGACAACAUCACCGCCUACGCCGUCGAGGACAACCGGCUCUGGCUGCGGCACCUGCAGACGUUCGCCGUGCAGGUGACAGCCGCUGGUUACGUCCUCUUCUACACCUCCGUUAUCGUUGGUAGCCAGUCGGGCUCGGCCUUGCUCCGGUGGGCCGGCAUCCUCAUGUUUGUGGUGGGUGUCGUCAAGUACGCGGAGAGGGUCUGGGCGCUCCGGUGCGCUGGCAGCAACCCGGUGGGGAAGAACUACCAAGCUUUACAGCAUUCGGCCGUCGUUCGCUCACACAACAAUCUGGAAGUCAUACUAAAAAAGCGUCCGUGGGACACUGAAGAUUGCCUACUGAUGGCUCACCGAACGCUUGGGGUUCCCAAGGAAAUGAUCAAGGGGCUGAUCAACGAAGUAGGAUACGGACAUGCUUCUGCUUCGUAUCUCCGGGAGGAGGGCCGUCUGUACAAGGUGGUUGAGAUGCAGCUGUCCCUGAUGUACGACGUACUGUACACCAAGGCUGAGGUGAUGCACACUUGGUACGGCCUCUGCAUCCGUAUGCUCUCGCCUGUGGCGACCACCGUCGCCUUCCUGCUGUUCCAUCGCCAUCAACAUCAUCGUCACCAACAUCAACAUCGGGUAGAUGUGGCUGUCACCUAUGUCCUGCUGGUAGGUGCCCUUGUUCUGGAGGUGGUGUCGGCGUUGAGAAGCUUAUUCUCGAGUUGGGCAUGCGUGCUCCUCAUAAGUCAUGGGCCGCAUUACUCCCUCCGCGACACCUUGCGUUACAUACCCGGCGGCACCACAACAUGGUGGCUCGAGGCCGCAGCAUGGGUACCAAGACAUGUCAGCGGUUCGCUCGGCCGUAUGGUGUUGUCCGUCCGCCGGCUGGUCCGCGCGGCGGACUGGGCAAGGUACUGGUCGGCCUCCAUGGGGCAGCACAACCUGUUGCAGCUGGCCGCUCGCAGCAGGGUCAGCAAGAGAAGCAGGAUGGCCAAUUGGAUGGGGAGAGAGGUGUGGUGGAACGCUAUGGCCUACUCGAGCUCCAUCCCUGUCUCGCCCCUCAUCCAGGAGCUGGUGGUGGACUACAUCCUGAGCAAGGGGGGUGACCUCAGGCUCUUUAGCCAUGACCACGACAGCCUUGUACAUUUUGAUUCACGGGGUCAAGCGGAGCUCAGGAGGUGGGGAUUGUACGAGGGCCUGACCUGGAGCGUGGAAGAAAAGAUCCUUGUCUGGCACAUCGCCACCAACAUCUACAUCUACUCCAUGAUGAGCAGCAGCAGCAGCGAGGAGCAUAAGCGGAUGAGUGAGGCGGUCCAGGCGCUCUCCAACUACAUGCUGUACCUCCUCGCCUCACGCCCCUACAUGCGAGCUUGGUGCCAAGAUCGUCCAAGAUGA
rnacentral:rRNA from 1 species